GACAGAGGGGGCAAGCGUUGCUCGGAAUCACUGGGCGUAAAGGGCGCGUAGGCGGGCUGGCAAGUCGGUCGUGAAAUCCUUCGGCUCAACCGAAGAACGUCGGCCGAUACUGCCGUUCUUGAGGGAUGCAGAGGAGAUUGGAAUUCCCGGUGUAGCGGUGAAAUGUGUAGAUAUCGUAAGGAAGACCAGUGGCGAAGGCGGGUCUCUGGACAGUUCCUGACGCUGAGGCACGAAGGCUAGGGGAGCAAACGGG
rnacentral:rRNA from 1 species